rnacentral:rRNA from 1 species
CAGCAGCCGCGGUAAUACCAGCAGUCCAAGUUGCAACCGUUUUUAUUGGGUCUAAAACAUCCGUAGCUUGCCUAGUAAGUUCCUUGUGAAAUCUCACAUCUCAAGUGUGGGGCGCGCGGGGAAUACUGCUAGGCUAGAGACCGGUAGGUGUGAGGAGUACGAUCGAGGUAGUGGUUAAAUACGUUAAUCUCGGUCGGACUAACAAUUAGCGAAGGCAUCUCACAAGGACGGAUCUGACAGUGAGGGAUGAAGGCCAGGGGCGCAAAACGGAUUAGAUACCCGUGUAGUCCUGGCAGUAAACACUGCUCACUAAACAUCGGGCCCUCUUCGGGAGGAUUCGGUGCUGAAGCGAAGGCGUAGAGUGAGCUACCUGGGAAGUAUAAUCGCAAGGUCGAAACUUAAAGGAAUUGGCGGGGGGGCACUACAACGAGUGACGCGUGCGGUUCAAUUAGAUUCUACACCGUGAACCUCACCAGGAGCGACAGCAGAAUGAAGGUCAGUCUGAAGGGCUUACCUGACACGCUGAGCGGAGAUGCAUGGCCGACGUCAGCCUGUGCCGUGAGGUGACCUGUUAAAUCAGGUAACAGGCGAGACCCGCGUCCAUAAUUGCUACCGAAAGGAGAACGUUAUGGAGACUGCCUUGGUAACAAGGAGGAAGGUGCGGGCUACGUUAGGUGAGUACAUCCCUAACCCCCUGGGCUACACGCGCGCGGCAAUGGUGGGCUCAACGAGAUGCAACUCCGAAAGGAGAAGCUAAUCCCCUAAUGCCCAUCUCAGUCCAGAUCGAGGGUUGCAACCCACCCUCGUGACGCUGGAAUUCGUAGUAAUCGUUUGUUAGCAGCGAACGGUGAAUAUGUCCCUGCCCCUUGCACAC